AUUCAUUGUUUCUAACUGUCCACAGAUAAUUUUCACUCUACUUUACAUUUCCCCUCAGCUACACAGAGCAUUUGAUCAUCUUUCAGUUAAUCCUCUAUAGACCCAGUCACAAUGUUGGUUUAGAAUAACAUCUGCAAAG